AACAGAAUACCCUUUUUAACCCAAAAUAUUUUUAAUAAGUCUCAUUACGUCUCUAAAUGAUCAGGGUUGUAAGUCAGAUAAGAUUAAUAAUUUAUAAUAGCUUAUUUCUAGUAUUGAACUGAAUACAUCUAGAUCUUAAGAUUGUUCUUACAGGCCAUUAAUCCAAUAUUAUACAUUAUAUUAUAACAAUACAUAUACAUCUUUUGUUAAAUGCUUAAAAUGCAUUUAAGGGUCAAAUUAAAUUUCUUAGACUAAAACUUAUUUAUCUAUUUGUCUUAAAGAAAAAAUUGGAGGAUUGAGGUCUAAAAAUGUUUGAGCGAACAUCACGAUCUUGUAUAUUUAGUAGUAUAAAAGUCUUUUCAAGCCAAUAUUUAAAAUAUAAGGCCAAGCUAUUGCACACGCAAGUAUAAAGCAAAUAGUCAUUUCACUAAAGUCCGCCAGAAGCAGAACAUAAAGUAAAUUACGAUCAUUAUAUUUUAAAAAAUAUAAUUCAGCUUCGUCGAUCUAAACAUUUAGAAUAAGUUAUUCUAGUGAUUAAAAACUGUGUUCUGUAUCUGAUUUCAAUUAGGGUUUUAAUUUGUAGAGAAGAAUCAAAGAAAAAGUUUCUACGCUCAGUGGAGGUAGCAAAAGCAGCCCCCAGAAAACUUCCAAAAGGUGUGUAUCUCAGCAAACUCCACGGAAAAAAUUAUGACUCUACUGAAAUUAGCGGCUCAUUGGCCUAACUUUAUAUUCACGUUACCUCAAGCUCAUGCAAGCUCAAUAUUUUGAACUAGUAUUUUUUCAUCCGCCAACUGCACGGAAAGUUAUUAAAAGUGCAAUGAAUCACGGCUUUCUGUUUUGCGUGAACAAAAAAAACUGCAAGCUGGGUGUUGCACAUAAUACUAACAUCUUACGUAUAUUUCUUAGCAAAACAUGGGUAUUGAUUAUACCCGUUGCUCGAAGUCUAAAAGGGUAUAUUAGAUACGCCUAAAGUAUAAGUGUACAAAGUUUUAUAUUCUUGAUAAGGAUCAUUAGCGGAACGACCUGAUAAUGUCCGACUUCCCGUAUGAACCCUGUGGUUGUAGCAUUAAUAUAGAUUAAGCGAUUAUCGGGCCUAAAGAAAAGAAAACACAUCUUAAAAAAUAUAUUUCAUAAAAAUAAUACACACAUACAUAGUUAAAAGUUAAUAUUUAUAAAAAUUGGAUUUCUUGAGGCGGCACCACGUGAUGCACCUAAUAAUCGAUAUUUACUAGACAAUGUCUACUCUAGUUUUUCACACGUCGCAAGCGGAAUACUGUUAUGACUAACAGUCAUACUUGACUGACCUUACACUAAUAUAAAGCCAUUUUUUUAAAUUUAUUUUGUGAUAUUAUGUAUACUGCGUUUGUGAUAUUAUGCUAUAAUCAAAUAAUUAUAACAUUAAGGCUAUGUAAAGAAGAAUUUUGUACAUGGUGCGAUUUAUCGAAAAUAAUACAUAUUUAAAGGCUAAGAACUUGUAAAGUAAAGGGCAUACUUUGUCAAAUUUACCAUGCAUGAGCAUAUGUGUGCACAUACAGUUGUCGGCUGUCACUGUAUGCGUAGAAGAGAUUGCUGGCUGUUGAGCUUUCCGCUCUCUGGCUCUUGAAAAAAAUUCAAGAGAGCCUGGAUCGAUAACUCUAAACAUUUGACCCUGUGUUUAAUCAAGCGCCUAUGAGUUUAAACAGGUCAGCAACGCUAUUCGUACCCAAAAAUGUUUAAUAUGCAGCCGAAAUCGCAGUCUCAAACUAUAACUUGACUUGUAUGCAAUAUCAAGAAAGAAAGUAUUGGACGAUUUUUAAAUUCCUUCGCACAGCCGUUGGUAGACAUGAGUACUGAGGCUCCAAGUAGUGUCCUAAGAAACAGAAAAAACUCUUUGUUGAGCCCAUAAGCGAGAGUAGAAGUAAAGAAGCUCGCGAGAGAGGGGAGCUUAGAUAAGAAAAGAAAAUGCCACAGCUGAGUUGCCUCUAAAUUGUGACUCCGAAGUUAGCAAGUAAACAAAUAACAAUACUAGGAAUUGGCCCAACAUACCCCCCGUUGGAAUCUUGGCUUUCAACAGAAUUCCAAAGGCGCAGUGACUCAGUCCAUUCCCUGCUCGCUUCGUCGAUCCUGCCCCUGUAUGAUCCCCCGGUACGCUGAUUGGGUUUCGGUCACUGAAUCCAACGAAGACUUCUCAUACUCGACGAAGACCUUUCGGUCAACAAAGGGUGAAAGCAAGACACGUGAGCUAGAUGGCUGACCUGACUCUUUAGUGUGCGUAGAUUUUUCAAGAGAGGCUCUUCGACGAAAUUCUAGCACUGGCUUCCCCGUUAAUGUUCUAGGUAGUAAUCAGUAAUGGAGUGUGUGUAAUCCGUUCCAACCGCGUCUCUUGCAUUAGCUUGCAGAAGCUUGACUUGGCCAAUUCACACCUGUUCGGAAAAGAUACUGGCGCCAAUCCGUGCGUUGAGAACGAUAAUAUUUAAGCUGUCAAUGCUAAUAAUCAAGGACGGAUGACUUUCAAUUAUAUUGGAGACACCAACAGCAGUGAUGUUGGUCGAGAACAUUGAAAUGUUUACUGACGAAACAUCUGUUUCAAAGCUAGAAUCCACUAUUCCGGUGACACAAGCUGCAGAUUUUGACCUUUUAGGUUGAAGCGUAUAUGCGAAUCGAGAUGUUAUGAGGUGCGGUUGAGAUCCAGAGUCGAGCAGAGCACGGAAAGGAACGAAGAUUCCUGAACGGUUCCUCACUAAUACGCUUUGAAAUCUCCUCAAAAACUGAGGAUGAAGAACGGAAUCGUAAAAUGAUGUUAACUUGAUAAAAAAUCUGCUAAUCGCUCCCCAAUAUAUUAUGUAUUGCAUCCGCGUGGCCAGAUCGACUAGGCUAUUGAUCUUGAUCAAGAAAAUAUAUAUAUUUUAUAUUGUCGGAAUCUCUUCCUUCUGCCUGUUACAUACUUUUCAACGUACUAGUGAAGGGUAUAAAAUUGUUUAUGUUUGCUAUGCCGUCGAUCGUGAGAGAGAUGUAUGUAUGUCGUCUCAGGAGCUUAUGUCGUAUUCAUUUGAAUAAUUGUACAGUAGUCACUGGAUUUAUGUUGUUCACAAAUGGAAUAAUGGGUAUCUCGGAAUAUACAGGUAGUUGGGUAUUUGCGUUUACUUCACUCGCACCUCCUUUUGGCGAUGGGCAAUAGAUUUGGUUUAGUUUUAACAAUCGUAUUGGUUCAUAUAAAGUUAAAUUUGCGCUGGACAAUAUAAAUUUAAAUUUUUAAUGUAAGUUUUAUAUUAUUUAUUUUUAGUGUACACUGCCUUAAUUGUAUUUCACAAUCUUGUUAAAUUUGUUUUUUACUUAUAUGUUCCAAUAAUAUUACGCUCAAUAUAUUUAAUAUAUUCAUUUUCCGAUACAAAUGUAUUGGCAAUUCGCUAAUUGACUAGUAAGGAUUUAAAAGAUGCAUACGUUUUCUAAAGAUUUUGGUGAACGAACUGGAUACAUGCGUUAGAAUAAUAAAGUCUGACUGCUUAACCAAGCUGAAGUUUUGUGGGAUAACGAAUUUUCUUAUUCUUCAUGUUUUAAUAUUUUGGGAUUAAGAGUAGGAAUAUCUCUUUUCAUUGUAAACUCAUUUGUGAAUCUUCGAUAUAUUCAAGAAAUAAGCUUAAUGAACAUAUCUAGAAAAUGUGAAAGCCUCUUCUUCUUCCUAUUUUAUAAGUCUUUUUGUAUCUUUGGGUUUUUUGUAUAUCAUUUUAAUUAUUUCAUGAAAUUUCCUUAAUUUCAUGUUUUAUUUGAAGUAGUGCGAAAGCAAAACAAGAGCAUUAUUAAUAUAUUUUCAUGUUUUAUAAAAUCUUGGUGAGUUUUAUAUAUUGUUGUUUGAUUUAUCAUAUGAUGUUCUUAGUUCAGAGCUAUUUUUAUAGUCCCUGUGUCCAUAAGUAAAUAACUAUUAUUUAAGAAUAUAGGUGUAAUACUAAUUUGUUCGGCUGUUGUCAAUGGUGUUUUCGUCCAUGUCACUAAUUUUAGAAUCAGAAUCGUCAGUUUCCCUGAAAUGACACAAAAGGUUUCGAAAUUCGAAUUUUUAUUUUUUGUGCUUGUGUGUUUUAUAACUUUAUUUAUUAGUUUCUUGUCAGUGUUUUUCGUCUUUUUGUUCUAAAGUUCCUGUCUCUUUAUAUGGACAUACUAGUUUAGCCUUAUGUUUCCCUUUUAACCUUAGUAUAUUCAAGAUCUAUUUCAUGUUCCUUGUUGUUUUUUUAUUUGAUGUCUCUUGUGUUAUUUCUGUAUUUUCAUAUUUUUGUUUAAUUCCGUACUAUAAAGAAAUAUUUGUGCUGGAGUUUUACGUGUGGCAUAAUGGGUUAUUUCGUGAUUAUAAACAUAAGAGGAGGUGUAUUAGUAAUUAUCUAUUUUUCGUUAAUUGUUUUAUGGUCCCUUUCUAUAUCAGCUAUAUCAUUUUUGCUAGUAGAAAUUUCAAUAUUAACAUUCUCUUAUUAUAUAGUAUUACAGAAGCUAUAAUUUAUUUCGUUCCAGUAUUUGUUUUAAUUUGUUCCAUAUAGGCUCGUUAAAAAAAUCACCAAAAAUUGUGUCCAUAUAUAUAUAUUAUAAUAUUAUCUUUUAAAAAAUUUCAGUCAUGUUACAUUUUAUCCCCAUACGUUAAUAGGUCGUUUGAUAAUUUGUAUGCAAUCCCCAUUAUAUUCCUGUGCACUGUGCACCAUUGAUUUUGUAUCUAUAUUCUCUUGUAUCUAUUUUGAAACACUUCCUCAAUACUAUCGUCUUUAGAUAUUUUUGUAAUUUUAGACAACGCGUCCUUUCAUUUACCUUUUAUUUUCUAACGGUGCAGUUUCAUAUUGGGCUCUUUUAUGUUACGUAACCAAACAAGGUGGUUUAUGGUCAGGGUGGAUAUAUUUUUUAAAUUCGGAGCGUAGAAGAAAAAGGCAUUAGUUAUAAAAUCGCUUUUUAAGGCUAGUCUAAGCCAUUGCAUAAUAGCUCUCGGUAACUGGAUAAGUUAGGCCAACGUAAAGCCAUACAAUAAAACUAGAUAAUCAAUUUUUCGAUAGCUGGAAUUUUUAAUUCAAGUAAGUACAAAAUUAUAUUGAUGUAUAUAUUAGCAAAUUAUAAAAUUAAACUUGAAAACGAAGAGACGAUAAGUUAUGAUAAAAAGAAAUUUAAAUCAUAAGAAAAAUUAAAUACUUAUUAUGGAUUUGCUAGAAUUAUUCAAUUUGUUUGAAAAAAUUUAACAAAAAAUAUACUAUAUGAGAUAAAGUCGAGGCACAAAUUAUCAAACAUGGUAGCAAAGGAAGGCAAUAUUCCGUAAAAAACGAUAAUAUCCAGCAACAAUAACAACGCUGCUAACUGCGAAAAAUUCACAAACGAAAUAAAAUUCACGGCCGCAGCGGAUUGUAUUAUAUAAGCGCUUAUGUAUUGGUAUAUAGCGGUUUGGAUCAACUUCCUAACGGUUGCAAAGUUUUGCGAGUGUUUUUUAGUGAGAUUUAAGAACAAGCAAAUGCUGCAUCCAAUGGCGCUUCAAAAAGUUUUAAAUAUAUAUAUAUGCAUGCAUGUAUUCUCUUUUCCUUAAUAAGCGUUUUAUUGUCAUUGUUCAAAAAUUAUGCAUGCUACCAAAUCUAUCUACUACUACUAGCUACUAGCUACCAAAUCUAUAUACUAUUUCGAUACAACUGUGUCAAGAAUUGAAAGUGAAUGCAUUUUUUGUUCCCGACCCUAUAAAGUAUAUGUGCAUAUAUAAUGUACAUAGGAUAUUACAUUAUUUUUGGAACGCGAUAUUGACCGCUUGCGAUAUUGCUUGUAUACAAUGAGCGGAUGUUGAUUGUUUACAUUGCGUUCGCCACUCUGCAUAUUCUCUUUUCUUCGUAUCUUCGUUUGAUUUUUUUUGUAUUCUUUCUCUUUCCAUAUGAACGUCUAGAUCCCAGGAACUAUUAAAGCCAGAAAGUUGGGUUCUUUCCUGAUUCAAGCGCCCAAAAUUCCCAUCCCCGACACAUCACAUUUUUUAGUAUUAUUUAUUAUUUUAUUUAUUUUUAUACCCGUUACUCAUAGACCGAAUGGGCUUAUUAGAUUUGUUGAAAAAUAUGUAACAGGUAGAAGGAAGCCUUUCCGACCAUAUAAAGUAUAUAUAUUCUUGAUCAGGGUCAAUAGACAAGCCGAUCUGGCCCUGACUGUCCGUCCGUAGGAGCUUUGAGAUCUCAGGAACUAUAGAAGCUAGAGAGUUGAGAUUAAGCAUACAGAUUCUAGAGACAUAGUCGCAGGGGAAGUUUGUUGGCAUGCCCACCCACUCCCACGCCCACACUUUUAAAAAAUAUGUUGAUAUUUUUUCAUAUUUACGCCCAUUCUAACGCCAGCAAGACGGCCAAAACUACCACUUACACAUACAAAUGCCAAAAACGGUUACGCCCAAAGUUUUAAAUAAUUUCUUGCAUAUUUUCUCAUUUUAUUCUCCAAUAUCUAUCGAU